UGCCCCUGCCGCCUCCUGCAACGCCGCCACCGCCACUCCGCCAUGACCACCGCUGCCUCCUGCCCUGCAGCCGCCACCACCGCCUGUGUUGACGCCGCCUCGGGACCGGUUGUAUGAUUAGGCCACAAUCUUCAAUGAGUAAACAUAUUGCUCAAUGCUGUGGUGUUCUUGGUCACACAUUUAUGGAGUUUCUGAAGGGCAGUGGAGAUUACUGCCAGGCACAGCACGACCUCUAUGCAGACAAGUGAACUGUAGAAACUGAUUAAUACUCCAUCAAGAAGCCCACAUAAGAGUGGUUAUCCUGGACAUAGAAGGGUUGAAUUGAAAUCCACAGAGCAUUUUACAAGAGUUCUGACCUGGAUGGGGUAAACCUCAGUGCACUUCUUUUCUGGUGGCCUCAGUAUUACUGGAUUAAAGAAUUGCUGCUGCUUGUUAGGAGGUUCAUUUCAUUUAUCAUUACUUACAACUUCAUACUCAAGCACUGAGAGUUUCAGUGGAGUAUGUUGAAGUAGACUUCAGUUUCUUUGCAUCAUUUCUGUAUUCCAAUUUUUAAAAAAUUAUUUCAUAACCCUAUUGAGUAUUUUUUAACUAAAUUAACAUGGCUGGAAUGAACCGCCCAGCUCCUGUGGAAGUCACAUACAAGAACAUAAGAUUUCUUAUUACACACAAUCCAACCAAUGUGACCUUAAACAAAUUUAUAGAGGAGCUUAAGAAGUAUGGCGUUACCACAAUAGUAAGAGUAUGUGAAGCAACUUAUGACAUCACUCUUGUGGAGAAAGAAGGUAUCCAUGUUCUUGAUUGACCUUUUGAUGAUGGUGCACCACCAUCCAACCAGAUUGUUGAUGACUGGUUAAGCCUUGUAAAAAUUAAGUUUCGUGAAGAACCUGGUUGUUGUAUUGCUGUUCACUGUGUGGCAGGCCUUGGGAGAGCUCCAGUACUUGUUGCCCUAGCAUUAAUUGAAGGUGGAAUGAAAUAUGAAGAUGCAGUACAAUUCAUAAGACAAAAGCAGCAUGGAGCUUUUAACAGCAAGCAACUUUUGUAUUUGGAGAAGUAUCGUCCUAAAAUGCGGCUGCGUUUCAAAGAUUCCAAUGGUCAUAGAAACAACUGUUGCAUUCAAUAAAAUUGGAGUACCUAGUGCUAUUGGAAGUGGAACUUGAGAUAGGGCCUAAUUUGUUAUACAUAUUAGCCAACAUGUUGGGUUAGUGCGUAAGUCUAAUGUAGCUUCCAUGGGAGUAUUGAAAGGCAGUUUUACCAGGGCCACAAGCUAGACAGAUUUGGCAACCUCUGUAUUUGGGUUACAGUCAACCUAUUUGGUUACUUGGCAAAAGAUUCUCACUGUCAGCAUAUAAAAUGUGCUUGUCAUUUGUAUCAAUUGACCUUUCCCAAAAUCAUGCAGUAUUGAGUUAUGACUUGUUUCUAUUCCCAUGCCAGAAUCUUAUCAAUACAUAAGAAAUUUAGGAAGACUAGGUGCCAAAAUACCUAGCAAAAUAC